GAUGAACGCUGGCGGCGUGCCUAAUACAUGCAAGUCGAGCGAACAGACGAGGAGCUUGCUCCUCUGACGUUAGCGGCGGACGGGUGAGUAACACGUGGAUAACCUACCUAUAAGACAGGGAUAACUUCGGGAAACCGGAGCUAAUACCGGAUAAUAUAUUGAACCGCAUGGUUCAAUAGUGAAAGACGGUUUUGCUGUCACUUAUAGAUGGAUCCGCGCCGCAUUAGCUAGUUGGUAAGGUAACGGCUUACCAAGGCAACGAUGCGUAGCCGACCUGAGAGGGUGAUCGGCCACACUGGAACUGAGACACGGUCCAGACUCCUACGGGAGGCAGCAGUAGGGAAUCUUCCGCAAUGGGCGAAAGCCUGACGGAGCAACGCCGCGUGAGUGAUGAAGGUCUUCGGAUCGUAAAACUCUGUUAUUAGGGAAGAACAUAUGUGUAAGUAACUGUGCACAUCUUGACGGUACCUAAUCAGAAAGCCACGGCUAACUACGUG
rnacentral:rRNA from 1 species